UACAGAGGUCCCGAGCGUUGUUCGGAUUCAUUGGGCGUAAAGGGUGCGUAGGCGGUCUGCUAAGUUUGAUGUGAAAUCCCGGGGCUCAACCCUGGAAUGGCAUUGAAUACUGGUGGACUAGAGUACUGGAGAGGAAACUGGAAUUACGGUGUAGCAGUGAAAUGCGUAGAGAUCGUGAAGGAAGACCAGUGGCGAAGGCGA
rnacentral:rRNA from 1 species